CACAGCCGCGGGGAAUACGAAGGGUGCAAGCGUUACUCGGAAUUACUGGGCGUAAAGCGUGCGUAGGUGGUGGUUUAAGUCCGUUGUGAAAGCCCUGGGCUCAACCUGGGAAUUGCAGUGGAUACUGGGUCACUAGAGUGUGGUAGAGGAUAGUGGAAUUUCCGGUGUAGCAGUGAAAUGCGUAGAGAUCGGAAGGAACAUCUGUGGCGAAGGCGACUAUCUGGGCCAACACUGACACUGAGGCACGAAAGCGUGGGGAGCAAACAGGAUUAGAUACCCCAGUAGUCCCUGUCUCUUAUAC
rnacentral:rRNA from 1 species